rnacentral:rRNA from 1 species
AGAGUUUGAUCCUGGCUCAGAACGAACGCUGGCGGCGCGCCUAAUACAUGCAAGUCGAGCGAGAAGGUGUAGCAAUACACUUGUAAAGCGGCGAACGGGUGAGGAAUGCAUGGGUAACCUACCCUCGAGUGGGGAAUAACUAGCCGAAAGGUUAGCUAAUACCGCAUACGUUUCCGGAACUUCGGUUUCGGAAAGAAAGCAAUACCGUGGGUAUUGCGCUCCUGGAUGGGCUCAUAGUCCUAUCAGCUUGUUGGUGAGGUAACGGCUCACCAAGGCUUCGACGGGUAGCUGGUCUGAGAGGACGAUCAGCCACACUGGCACUGCGACACGGGCCAGACUCCUACGGGAGGCAGCAGUAAGGAAUAUUGCGCAAUGGACGAAAGUCUGACGCAGCGACGCCGCGUGGGGGAUGAAGGUCUUCGGAUUGUAAACCCCUUUCGGGAGGGAAGAUGGAGUGGGUAACCACUUGGACGGUACCUCCAGAAGCAGCCACGGCUAACUUCGUG